rnacentral:rRNA from 1 species
UCGAACGAACCUUCGGGUUAGUGGCGGACGGGUGAGUAACGCGUGGGAAUCUGCCCUCAGGAGGGGGAUAACGGUUGGAAACGGCCGCUAAUACCCCAUAUGCCGAGAGGUGAAAUGAAUUUCGCCUGAGGAUGAGCCCGCGUCUGAUUAGCUAGUUGGUGAGGUAAGAGCUCACCAAGGCAUCGAUCAGUAGCUGGUCUGAGAGGAUGAUCAGCCACACUGGGACUGAGACACGGCCCAGACUCCUACGGGAGGCAGCAGUGGGGAAUUUUCCGCAAUGGGCGAAAGCCUGACGGAGCAACGCCGCGUGAGGGAUGAAGGCCUCUGGGCUGUAAACCUCUUUUAUCAAGGAAGAAGAUCUGACGGUACUUGAUGAAUAAGCCACGGCUAAUUCCGUGCCAGCAGCCGCGGUAAUACGGGAGUGGCAAGCGUUAUCCGGAAUUAUUGGGCGUAAAGCGUCCGCAGGCGGCCGAACAAGUCUGCUGUUAAAAAGUGGAGCUUAACUCCAUCAUGGCAGUGGAAACUGUUGGGCUCGAGUGUGGUAGGGGCAGAGGGAAUUCCCGGUGUAGCGGUGAAAUGCGUAGAUAUCGGGAAGAACACCAGUGGCGAAGGCGCUCUGCUGGGCCAUCACUGACGCUCAUGGACGAAAGCCAGGGGAGCGAAAGGGAUUAGAUACCCCUGUAGUCCUGGCCGUAAACGAUGAACACUAGGUGUCGGGGGAAUCGACCCCUCCGGUGUCGUAGCCAACGCGUUAGGUGUUCCGCCUGGGGAGUACGCACGCAAGUGUGAAACUCAAAGGAAUUGACGGGGGCCCGCACAAGCGGUGGAGUAUGUGGUUUAAUUCGAUGCAACGCGAAGAACCUUACCAGGGUUUGACAUCCUGCGAAUCUCUUGGAAACUUGAGAGUGCCUUCGGGAGCGCAGUGACAGGUGGUGCAUGGCUGUCGCCAGCUCGUGUCGUGAGAUGUUGGGUUAAGUCCCGCAACGAGCGCAACCCACGUCUUUAGUUGCCAGCAUUUAGUUGGGCACUCUAGAGAGACCGCCGGUGAUAAACCGGAAGAAGGUGGUGGAUGACGUCAAGUCAUCAUGCCCCUU